CAGGCCUAACACAUGCAAGUCGAGGGGUAACAUUGAAGCUUGCUUCAGAUGACGACCGGCGAACGGGUGCGUAACGCGUAUGCAACCUACCUUUCACAGGGGGAUAGCCAUUAGAAAUGAUGAUUAAUACCCCAUACGAUCUCAGAUCAGCAUUGGACUGAGAAGAAAACUCCGGUGGUGAAAGAUGGGCAUGCGUCCUAUUAGUUAGUUGGAGAGGUAACGGCUCACCAAGACAUCGAUAGGUAGGGGCCUUGAGAGGGGGGUCCCCCACACUGGUACUGAGACACGGACCAGACUUCUACGGGAGGCAGCAGUGAGGAAUAUUGGACAAUGGAGGAAACUCUGAUCCAGCCAUGCCGCGUGCAGGAUGACAGCUUUAUGAGUUGUAAACUGCUUUUAUUCAGGAAGAAACCUCAGCACGUGUGCUGAGUUGACGGUACUGUUUGAAUAAGGAUCGGCUAACUCCGUGCCAGCAGCCGCGGUAAUACGGAGGAUCCAAGUGUUAUCCGGAAUUAUUGGGUUUAAAGGGUCCGUAGGCUGUCUGAUCAGUCAGGGGUGAAAUCCUACAGCUCAACUGUAGAAUGGCCUUUGAUACUGUCAGACUUGAGUUAUUGUGAAGUAAUUAGAAUGUGUAGUGUAGCGGUGAAAUGCAUAGAUAUUACACGGAAUACC
rnacentral:rRNA from 1 species